UAGGGAAUCUUCGGCAAUGGGGGCAACCCUGACCGAGCAACGCCGCGUGAGUGAAGAAGGUCUUCGGAUCGUAAAACUCUGUUGUUAGAGAAGAACACGAGUGAGAGUAACUGUUCAUUCGAUGACGGUAUCUAACCAGCAAGUCACGGCUAACUACGUGCCAU
rnacentral:rRNA from 1 species